GCCGGCGCGGGAGGCGGGAGGCGGCCGAGCUGUUUGUUCUCUGGGCGGGACGCGGGUGGGGCGCCCCUUCCUGAAACCCGAGCAGAGGCCCCCGCGGUGACCGCCCCGCUACUCCCUCCCGAGAACGGGCGCGUCCCAGACGGGCUGUGGCGCUGGGGCCCAGGAGACCCGCGGGACGCACGCGAGGAAACGACCGAGCGCGCGGCGGCGACCAGAGGGGGCGCUGCGCCCCGCUCCGCAGCCCUCCCGCCAGGCGUGCCUGCUGCUCUUCCUGGGCCUCGGCCCUGGGCAGGUCGGUCGCGGGCAGCCGCCGCCCCGUGCGGUUCCACGCGUCCUCGGCAUCCCGCAGAGCCGGCCGUCGCCCCUCCCGGGCCCGCCUGUGGUUCCGCACGCUCCAGGUGCACGGCUCGCACCGCGAGUGACCUGGGUCUGGCUUCUCCCCGCGAGGAAGCUUCUCUUGGGGAGAUGCUGAGACCGUGUCAAUGUCCUGGUGCUUCACAGAACCUUCAACCAUUAGUUUGUCAACCUGUGGUGCUUCCUGCCUGGAUCAGCCCUGAGGACUGUGGUCCCAACUGGACACUGAGUGAGACCUGAAAAGAAUGCCUGGGAAGUGCUCCGUGGCUUCCGCCUGGCGUAUCUGAAGGGCCAGAAUCACUACUCCUGUGUCCUGGGGGCAUUAAGUUAAAUGCAUGAACAGGAGCUCCGUGAUGCUUCAGCAGCUGAUCUGGUAACCAAGACGGCUACCCAGGACUCGCAGGUGGGCGGUGGACACAGUGUGGACGUGCCGGACAGCGGGAGGAUUCACGACCUGGGCAGGAUGCAGCAGGACAGCCCAAGACUUCACCAUGCUGCACAGGACGGAGCACAAUUUAAAACUCGUGGAUUGUUCAUUUCUGGAAUUUUGGACUGUGGUUGAUCCUAAGUAACCAAAACCAUGGAAAGUGAAGCCAUAAACAAGGGGUAGACUACUGUAUAACUUCCACCUCAUGGUCCAAGUUGACUGCUCCAGUCCGGCCGUUACAUCUGCCUUCCAGCCAGGAGCAAGGAGGGAAGGGGAGGUGUCAUUUCCUUUUAAGUGCCUGCGUGCCAUUGAUCAGAACUGAGAUGCAUGGCCACACCUAGGUGUAGCGGAGGCAGGGAACUUAGUCUUUAUUCUGGGUGUUCUUGAGCCCAACUGUAAAUCAGGGCUGGGGAAGAGUGAGUCGACUUCCCCAGGGGAAGUCCCUGGUGCCGGAUCUGCUCUUCCUGCAUCCUUCCUACAUCCACUUUCUCUCUCAAGUUCAUAAUCUAGACAGAAAAAAGAAAACCCUAAAGACAUGCAUCCGCUCACGACCUUCCCUUGCUCAAACUCUUCUGUGGCUCCCCAGUACUCUGAGUCAAAGCCACGCUUUGCAGCCUGCUGUUUGAGCCACGCUCUGGGCUCAGCCUCACCCCUUCCACCAGCACCACACCUUGCCCCAGCAGCUCUGCCUCCUCCUGCAUCUCCCAGGCUUUCCUGCCCCGUCUUUGUGCAGGGCUGUUCCCACAGUCUGGAGCUCCCUGUGACUGACGCUCCUUCCUGCAGGAAAGCCACCCCGCCCCAUCCCAGCUGGCAGGCAAGCUCACUCACUCCUCUCCUGUCCUGUCCCUCUGUCCCUCUCAUCCCCCCGACCCUGCUUCCUCUUCCCCUUUGCUCCCCAUUACUGAGCCCAGCACAGCGUGCUGCACUGGGGAGCCGUACUGACAAAAAUCCAGAUGGAACGAGGCGAUGGUCCCCGCUGCUCCGAUGGUGUUGCAAGUUAUUCCAGCACUGUGGCUUCAGACACAGACCAUGGUUACUUCCCGUGGGUCUGUGUCUGCACCGGGCUUGGUGGAGGCAGCUCCCUUCUGCUGCAUCUGCUGACAGUCAAGGCCAGCCGGAAGCUGGGGCAGCACCUGGGCUGGAGAGUUGGACAACCUGAGUCAAGAUGACGGGCGCCUCAGCCUCCUGACUCGAUUCCCGCUGACUAUCCAGCCCAGCUGCUCUGGGGCAUGUAGAUGUCUUUCUCAUGCUCCAGCAAAGGGCCCUCAAGGUGUGGCAUGUGCAGGGGGAGGUAGAGGCUGGGAGGACACACAGACUUACAUCAUGAUCACCUGUUGGACCACACACUCUCAAGGGGAGGGGACACAGAUGGCGCCUUUCCAUGGAGGAGACUUGAGGUCACAUUGUAGACCGUGCAUGUGGUCGGGAUAUACAAGUUGUCACCACCCUUCCAAAACCCAACCAGAGCCUGUCAUCCCAGACAUUCAGGAGGCCAAGGCAGGAGGACUGCAAGUUCAAGGUCAGCCUCAGCAACUUAGUGAGACCCUGCCUUAAAAUAAAAAUAAAAAAAUAAUAGCAACAAAAAAAGAGUUGAGAAUGUAGCUCAGAGGUAAAAUACCCUGGGUUCAAUCCCCAGGAAACCCCCCCCCCAAAAAAAAACACCCCAAAUUAAAACAAACCCCAAUCUGCCACAGAGCCAGCAUGGAACUGCACCCCUGCUGUGUCCAGAAGCAUCCAAGAGCUCCGCGUGCUCCUUGGUAUGCUUUGCCCAACUCCAGUGCCAUCCCCACUUUACAGACGGGGAGACCGAGGCACGGAGGAGAGCAGCUAGCCUGUGCACAGCUCGGAGCUGCAGGGCACCAGUCUUUAGCCCUGGGGUGUGCACGCUUCAGCUCCUCUUAGAGCCCAAGAUGUGGGGUGCUCCCUCAUUUUAGGAAGUGCUUUGGGGGAGCUGGGUGCAGAGUCUCUGAUGGAAAAGCAAGGACAGUGGCAGAGCCCUCUCAGCACCCAGGACAGCACCCCGUGCUCCUCAGGAGCUUGUCAAUGACAACAAUAGCCUGCCUGGAGUCUGAGGAGACAUUCCUGCAUUCCUGCAGUGUCUGGGAAUCAGGUCCUCAGAGCAGGGAAUUCCCACACCUCUCUCUCCUGACAAUGGUGACAGCCGAAAUAUUCUGGCACUCACUGAGGGUUACCUCUGGGUCCUGACUCGCUUCGUGUCAUUCUAAUGACUUCAAUGGCGGCAGCAGGCUGACUGUGGCCCACCACCUCUUUGUAUAAAUAAA